UUGAACGCUGGCGGCAGGCCUAACCCAUGCAAGUCGAGCGGAUGAAGGGAGCUUGCUCCUGGAUUCAGCGGCGGACGGGUGAGUAAUGCCUAGGAAUCUGCCUGGUAGUGGGGGAUAACGUCCGGAAACGGGCGCUAAUACCGCAUACGUCCUGAGGGAGAAAGUGGGGGAUCUUCGGACCUCACGCUAUCAGAUGAGCCUAGGUCGGAUUAGCUAGUUGGUGGGGUAAAGGCCUACCAAGGCGACGAUCCGUAACUGGUCUGAGAGGAUGAUCAGUCACACUGGAACUGAGACACGGUCCAGACUCCUACGGGAGGCAGCAGUGGGGAAUAUUGGACAAUGGGCGAAAGCCUGAUCCAGCCAUGCCGCGUGCGUGAAGAAGGUCUUCGGAUUGUAAAGCACUUUAAGUUGGGAGGAAGGGCAGUAAGUUAAUACCUUGCUGUUUUGACGUUACCAACAGAAUAAGCACCGGCUAACUUCGUG
rnacentral:rRNA from 1 species